rfam:TPA: Bos taurus chromosome 6, whole genome shotgun sequence.
UCCCUGGUGGCUCAGAUGGUAAAGAAUCUGCCUGCAGUGCAGGAGACCUAGGUUUGAUCCCUGGGUUGGGAA